UUUGAUUAAAUAAUCAAUUAAUGAUUUUGAGGGUUCUUGACGUUUAGAUAGGUUCUAGAGAAUGAGGAAAAGGGUUGAGACAACUUAGAAAGAUGGAUUAAGAGUAAAUUAUAUUAAUUGUUUGGAUUUUACAAGGCAAACAAUAAAAUAGAUAGUUGAAAAUCCGAAUUCAAUAUGCAUUUGUAUCCGUUUAGGGGUAUCUAUAUCUAGUCAGGAAAUAUCCAGAUUUGAUCACAUCGAAUCCGUUUACAUCUCUACACCUCCCUGUUUGAUGCUUAGAAGUGUACUCCCAUUGGCCUCCACAAUGGCAUAGGGGCCACCUGACCAAGCAGCAUUCUCUUCCAUUGAAAAAAUGGGUGCUAAGGGAAAGCGGCAACGUUUGCUUGCACGAUAUGGUACUCUCACAAUAUAUGCCUGUGCAUCAGCAUAUUACUAUCAUAGUUCGGCCAGAGCUAAGAACUUGCACCUGGAACGAUUUAUGCUCACUGAGAACAUUUUAGGGGGCGUUUGGUUCGAUUUAUCCAUCGGACCAGAUCCCAGGGAAUCAGUUUCCGGUUUAAAUUAAACCGUUUGGUUCAUUUUUGUGAAAAAUCGGUUCGGAGUCAUGGUGGCCAGUAGAAUCAGGGUAACCAACUAAAAACCAUGAUUCAUCCGGAUUAACCUCAAUAGGUUAAUCCGGAAUCGAGUCAUGGUUCCGGAGGUUCGUAUAAAAGCGAUGGAUUCAACUGGAGUUCAUUUCCACAUCAUCCUGCGAUUCUGCCGGUGAAGUCCGACCGAGGUUCAGCGACGGUGAAGCAACAGCUCGCAUCUGAGAAGAACACCUAAAACCGAGUUGAUUGAAGGUUGUAACUUCAUAUCUAGGGUUUACCCUAUUUCCAAAUCAGACGAUCGACUCCAAGGUUU